GUUCUUUAGAUAGCUCAGUUAGUUAGAGCAUGGUGCUGUUAACACCAAAGUUACAGGUUCAAUCCCCACAAAGGACA